UACGUAGGGGGCAAGCGUUGUCCGGAGUUACUGGGUGUAAAGCGCACGCAGGCGGUCGCGUAAGAGUGCGGGGACAGUGGGCGGCUUAACUGCCCAAGAGUCGCACAGACUGCGUGACUGGAGGGCCAGAGAGGGACCUGGAAUUCCGGGUGGAGCGGUGAAAUGCGUAGAGAUCCGGAGGAACACCAAUGGCGAAGGCAGGGUCCUGGCUGGCACCUGACGCUGAUGUGCGAAAGCCAGGGGAGCGAACGGG
rnacentral:rRNA from 1 species